UACGUAGGGUGCGAGCGUUAAUCGGAAUUACUGGGCGUAAAGCGUGCGCAGGCGGUUUUGUAAGCCAGAUGUGAAAGCCCCGGGCUUAACCUGGGAAUGGCAUUUGGGACUGCAAGGCUGGAGUGUGGCAGAGGAGACUGGAAUUCCUGGUGUAGCAGUGAAAUGCGUAGAUAUCAGGAGGAAUACCGAUGGCGAAGGCAGGUCUCUGGGCUGACACUGACGCUGAGGUGCGAAAGCGUGGGGAGCGAACGGG
rnacentral:rRNA from 1 species